GUCGCACGUGUGAAACUUGAAGGAAUUGACGGAAGGGCACCACAAGAACGCGUGGAGCAUGUGGCUUAAUUUGACUCAACGCGGGAAAUCUUACCGGGUCCGGACACACUGAGGAUUGACAGGCAAUAUUAGCACUUCUUCAUGUCAUUGUUACAGGUGCAUUGAAGUAGUUGUUAUGUUAAAUAUGCUAGUCCUUUCAUGAUUAUGUGAUAGGUGGUGCAUGGCCGUUCUUAGUUCGUGGAGUGAUCUGUCUGCUUAAUUGCGUUUCACUAAGGGCCUAUAAUUUAACGUGUGUUGCGGCACUUUGACCCCUCUUUUUUUAAAGAGCGCGUGUCUUAGUUUGUUUAGCUCGCACAAUUAGGUCCUGAAAGCAACGAACGUGACCG
rnacentral:rRNA from 1 species